rnacentral:lncRNA from 1 species
GUGUGUCAAGGUUUCAGAUGCGAGUCCUUCAAAGCAUCAGACUGCGUCUCCCUUCAGCUGGUGUGGAGCUCAUUUUCCAACUUCUUUCACAAAAAGCAAUAAAAUUUCUGAAUGGGGCAAUGUGGAGAAAUCCUAAGAGAAAUAGCAUAAGAGCAUUUUGGAAUAUAUCCCGGAAAAGAUAACUUUCUACACAUCCGGUAGAGAUUCGCCAGGAAAAGGAACUACGGUUGCUGACUUGAGUUGAAGAAGCAUCUGCUUAAUGUCCGGUCAAAGCUUACAAGCAGUAAUACAGAAACCUAUGGUUAAAAAGCCGGCACUUCAGUCUCCUGCAAAGGGUGAAACACAGGACGAGAAGAAUCUGCAGGGAGAAUGAAUUUCAGGAUUUCUCAUUGAAGUGGACAAAGACAUUUAGUCACUCCGACGGAGCGGGACAAACUGAGUUGGCACACAAGUCACCUGCAGAAAGAGAGAGAUGGAUGCAGACGCUGAAGAUAAAACGCUGUGUACCCGCUCUAAAGGAACCAAAGUGCCAAUGGAUUCUCUAAUUCAGGAGCUCAGUGCUGCAUAUGAUUGCUCCAUGACGAAGAAGAGGAGAGCUGAAGAGCAGGCUUUGGGUG